rnacentral:rRNA from 1 species
AGUGAACGCUGGCGGCGUGCCUAAUACAUGCAAGUCGAACGAUGAAGUCCUAGCUUGCUCGGAUGGAUUAGUGGCGCACGGGUGAGUAAUAUAUAGUUAAUCUGCCCUACACAUAGGAACAACAGUUGGAAACGACUGCUAAUACCUCAUACUCCUAUUUGCCAUAUGUUAAAUAGUGAAAGUCUUCUCGGUGUAGGAUGAGACUAUAUCGUAUCAGCUAGUUGGUAAGGUAAUGGCUUACCAAGGCUAUGACGCGUAACUGGUCUGAGAGGAUGAUCAGUCACAUUGGAACUGAGACACGGUCCAAACUCCUACGGGAGGCAGCAGUAAGGAAUAUUGCGCAAUGGGGGAAACACUGACGCAGCAACGCCGCGUGAAGGAUGACACUUGUCGGAGCGCAAACUCCUUUUAUCAGGAAAGAAUAAUGACGGUACCUGAUGAAUAAGCACCGGCUAACUCCGUG